rnacentral:rRNA from 1 species
CGUGUAGGCGGCCCUGCAAGUCAGUCGUGAAACCUAUCGGCUCAACUGAUAGCUUGCGAUUGAAACUGCAGAGCUUGAGUGCAGAAGAGGGGAGUGGAAUUCCCAGUGUAGCGGUGAAAUGCGUAGAUAUUGGGAGGAACACCAGUGGCGAAAGCGGCUCCCUGGCCUGUAACUGACGCUGAGGCGCGAAAGCGUGGGUAGCAAACA